CAAUUGGCCUUUCCCCAGAACUCUAUGCUCCACUGAAAUUACUUAAAUAAACAACUUUGGGUUUUGUUUUGCAAAAUGCAGGGUUUCAUGUACCUCAGACCUGCCUCAAACUGCUUAUAUAACCUUGAACUCCUGAUCAACACACCCACCUCCUGAGGGUUGCUGCCACUCACCACCUUCGACUCUGGUUCUUAACAUAGGAGAAAAAAAGGCUGUUCCCAGCCCUUGACUCCGGAUUUAGGGCUAAACUUUAACUAAUUAAUUUAUAGUUAAUCCCAUGAAAUAUUAUAGAAGCAUUUCAAAUGCCAUGCAUAGGAAUAAGAAGAGAUGCAUAUGAAACAGGCAGAAUGAAGCAUCCUCAGCUAGGCGGCCAGGCAUUUUGGGUUUGGACAAGAAACUGCUCAGCAGCUUUCUGACAGCUUAACACACUACCUGAACUGGCCAGAAGAGGGCGACGAGGGAGCCGUCAGACACCACAUGGAGCCACACCCAGAUCAUGGUUGCUUAUUCUAGUGUCUCUUCCGGAGUUCUCAAAAAAACUCGAAAUAAGAAAUUCUUGUCAAAGAAAAAAGAAUGAGAGAAAUCGAGACAAUCUUUUUAUUGAGAUAAUAGCAUAAACAUACGACUACUGGGCAGUUUCAAGUCGACAAACCUGGGGGAAUUUCACUUCAGCAUCAUGCUACAUGCCUGUCUAAUCCCAGACAUAAGAAAUGCCUGCGUGUGAUAUAGCUAAAAUUCACAAAUCUCUCAGCAGUGUUUUGACCUGAAUCUGUCACAUCCCCACUUUGCCCCUACCCACAUUCUGAGAAGAAUCCUGCUCUUCCCUCACCUGGCAACCCCCAGUCAGCCUCCUUGAUCUUACAGUUCACACCAUCUGAUCCAGGGGUAAAGUUACAACUGGAAAAACAAAACCAUCUGCGUCCUUCAGUUCUUCCUCUGGCACGUCUACAGUUGCAGAAGGCAGUGAGCAAAGAUACUGUUCCCCAGCUCUGAAUGCCGGUCGUCCAGCAGCCCCCAGGGUGAGCGACUCCAGGAGCAGCUGCCACCCAGUUGAACCGGAUGUCGUCCAGUGUGCACUUCCUAAGGCCACACAGGGGUCAGAGGAUUCCCAGGCAGCUACCACCCCUCCACCUUAAAAAUCUCCCAGGACUUUGAGGAGUUCUAAAACCUAGACAAAGCCCAGAUGCAAGAUCUAC
rnacentral:lncRNA from 1 species